GUCCCAUUGUGCAAGCCGGUCAUGAGCCAUAAAGGACAACCUAGGGAAGCAGAGUGAGAAAUCAAGCAAAGCAGGACAGCAGGGAAGGUGUUUUCUGGACAGCUGGAAUCAUGAACAGCUUGCAACUCUAGUACCUGAUGUGUAAAAGGCACGUAAUCAAUACCAAAUAUUUGGUAUUUGGCUCCAGUUUUGAGGCUGACUUCUAAAUGGCAAGGAUUGCCUUCCACCGGGACAGGGAAGCCAUCAUGAUAUAAAGGCUCAAAGCUCCCGCAAGAUGUUGAUUUCUAACCAUCAUAUGAUAGUUACAAGCGGGUCCAUUCAGGGUGCCCACUAGAGUAAGAAGGCUUAUCCAAGUGAGGAGGGCUAGCUGAGGAGGGGGUCAUAAAGGGGGUGGAGAACCCAGCAGUACCCUCGGGCUACCAACAGGAAGGGGCCCUUGCCUCCUCCAGGGCCUGAAAAGGCAGCAGGAAGUGACCUUGCCAGAGCUGUAGGAGAGGGCCGUCCCAUAGGAGCUGUGGCUUCAGUAGAGACGCACAGCCAUGGCUACGCCCAGCAGGCCAAGGAGGCAACCCCUCAUCUUUACUCUCCCUCAGACUCCCGUCUCCAGCCCCUGCUCCCUCUUGGCUAAAGGCAGCAAAAAGCACGGUGUCACAGGAGCCAGUAAGUGCAGUCCCCACGGGUCCUGGGCACAGAGCAGGACGGAGAACGCGGAGAACGGAUCGGCAAGGGCAAAUGGAAUAUUCUACACACUCAAGACGUCCAAGCAGCUCACACCGGGUGCAUCGACAGACCCCGUUUCUUGAACAGCGUCCAAUCCCUGCUGGUUAUUUAUGUCACUACCCUUUCGCAAGAACCACAUAAAAUAUUUUACAUGCUUUUAAAACUCAUAAAUGUAAUGAAGCCAAGAUGUUUCAGCAAAUGUGCUUGACAGACAAAUCCUGCCGAAGAUCCGCUCUUAGCUGAUGUCAGGACCAAAGGCAAUCUCCUGACCUGCGGGAACAUUUGACAUGGAAACCAAUAAAUUCAUCCCCUGCCCGCAUGGAUGUCAGGCUGUCACUGCAUCUUGAGAAUGUAUCUGUUCCUUGUUCGCUUCCUGCCGUCCCUGCCUUGCAAGUAUUUACUGCUCUUUCAACACUGAACUUGGCCAGUUGGAAAUGUAUCAGUUUGCAAAUGCAUCAGUUUGCAAAUGCAAAGAGAGAUCCCUGCGCUUCGUCCGGGCGUUAAUGUGCACAGCCUCCAACACGAGCUGCCUGAGAUUAAUAAAAAUGCGUGUGCCCCAAA